rnacentral:rRNA from 1 species
GAUGAACGCUGGCGGCGUGGAUAAGGCAUGCAAGUCGUACGGGUCACCUUCGGGUGACUAGUGGCGAACGGGUUAGUAACACGUGGGUAACGAACUCUAGAGAUGGGCAUAAUCCGUCGAAAGGCGGACUAAUUCCCAAUAGUCCCCCUGCCAUAAUUUGGUGGGAGGUAAAGGAGAAAUCCGCUCUGGAAUCGGCCCGCGGCCUAUCAGCUAGUUGGCAGGGUAAUGGCCUACCAAGGCGAUGACGGGUAGGGGAUGUGAGAGCAUGUUCCCCAACACUAGCACUGCGACACGGGCUAGACUCCUACGGGAGGCAGCAGUCGAGAAUAUUGGACAAUGGGGGAAACCCUGAUCCAGCGACGCCGCGUGCUCGAAGAAGCCCUUCGGGGUGUAAAGAGCUUUUCUGGGGGAAGAAGUUUCGACUGACAGUACUCCAGGAAUAAGGGGGUGCUAAUCACGUGCCAGCAGCCGCGGUAAUACGUGACCCCCGAGCGUUAUCCGGAUUUAUUGGGCGUAAAGCGUCUGUAGACGAUUUGGAAAGUCUUUGGUUAAAUACCAAGAGCUUAACUUUUGGGCUGCCAGAGAUACUUCCA